rnacentral:lncRNA from 1 species
CCCAUGCUUAAUUCAUUUAUGGAUGGUUUCUCCUUAGAAUUGGUGAAUUUGAUUCUCCUAAUCCCUUAAUUUCAUGUUUUAUACUCAGGUGAGCAUAGGAGAGUGAAAGGAACGAGAAAUGGGCCAAAAAUGGAGAAAAUGGGCCAACAUACGAAAUCAACACGGCCUGGACAUCCUCACAUGGGCAGACCACACGGCUGUGUCCCUUUGGCAAGGUCAAAGCAUGAGUUACAUGGGUAGAUCACAAGCCCGAG